rnacentral:lncRNA from 1 species
CCCAGACAAAAUCAACAAGAGCUAAAAAAUGCAGCUAGACACAUAAAUCCACUGUAAAAGACAGUGCUGCUACUUGCAAACUCUAAAGAAACCAUUUGCAUGGAAAGGGAUAUUUGAACUAUUAGUUUCCAGUGCUACCAGAUCAAGUUAUCUAUGUGGGUCUAUAAACACAUUCACUGUAGAACAUGGAAAGUGAAUGUUAGUUUUCAUGGAAAAAGAGUAAACUUCUCAUAUUGGAUCUUUGCUGAGACUCUUUGCCUGUGUGUGAAACUUAUAGCUGAUAAGAAAAGACUAAAAUGGAAAACAGAUAAGCAACUGGGCAAGAGAUAUGCGAUAUAA